ACGACUCUCGGCAACGGAUAUCUCGGCUCUCGCAUCGAUUGAGAACGCAGCGAAAUGCGAUACUUGGUGUGAAUUGCAGAAUCCCGUGAACCAUCGAGUUUUUGAACGCAAGUUGCGCCCAAAGCCUUUCUGGCUGAGGGCACGUCUGCCUGGGUGUCACGCAACAU
rnacentral:rRNA from 1 species